rnacentral:lncRNA from 1 species
UAAAAAUUUGUUGCGUGCACUCGUAAGGAUGGUCGCAUGAUGGGUAACAAGUAUUAACUCUUAAUUUACUUCAAUUCAUUUUAAAUAGAGUGAGUAAAAAUGUGUACAUAAAAAAAAAAAAUCAUAAAUACGAAAUAAAUUUAAUGAUUUAACUCCUCUCCACCUACUCGCUAUGAUGUAUAUAAUUAAUCAUUUUUAAUUUUAUUU